rnacentral:rRNA from 1 species
UACGGAGGGUGCAAGCGUUAUCCGGAUUCACUGGGUUUAAAGGGUGCGUAGGCGGAUUCUUAAGUCCGUGGUGAAAUCUCCAAGCUUAACUUGGAAAACUGUCAUGGAUACUAUUAGUCUUGAAUGUUGUGGGAGGGUUAGCGGAAUAUGUCAUGUAGCGGGUGAAAAUGCAUAGAUAUGACAUAGAACACCAAUUGCGAAAGGGCAGCUGGGCUACACAAAAUAUUGACGCUGAGGCACGAAAGCGUGGGGAUCAAACAGG